GGAGAGCUUCAUCCAGCCCCAAGCACCCCAGGGGACUGCUCGAAAAUUCUGGUGACCGUUGUUGACAGUGGAUACAGCAAAUUUGAAAUGCUCGAUCCAGACCAAUAUUUUGCUGGCUUGGAAAAUGACUGAUGGUGACUGGGGAGGUGUAUC